rnacentral:rRNA from 1 species
GGAUAACUACCCUUUAGGACCGGGAUAACUUUGGGAAACUGAGGCUAAUACCGGAUAGGCAAUUUUUCCUGUAAUGGUUUUUUGUUUAAAUGUUUUUUCGCCUAAGGAUGGGUCUGCGGCCGAUUAAGUAGUUGGUUAGGUAAUGGCUUACCAAGCCGUUGAUCGGUACGGGUUGUGAGAGCAAGAGCCCGGAGAUGGAACCUGAGACAAGGUUCCAGGCCCUACGGGGUGCAGCAGGCGCGAAACCUCCGCAAUGUGAGAAAUCGCGACGGGGGGAUCCCAAGUGCCAUUCUUAACGGGAUGGCUUUUCGUUAGUGUAAAAAGCUUUUGGAAUAAGAGCUGGGCAAGACCGGUGCCAGCCGCCGCGGUAACACCGGCAGCUCUAGUGGUAGCAACUUUUAUUGGGCCUAAAGCGUCCGUAGCCGGUUUAAUAAGUCUCUGGUGAAAUCCUGUAGCUUAACUGUGGGAAUUGCUGGAGAUACUAUUAGACUUGAGACCGGGAGAGGUUGGAGGUACUCCCAGGGUAGAGGUGAAAUUCUGUAAUCCUGGGAGGACCGCCUGUUGCGAAGGCGUCUAACUGGAACGGUUCUGACGGUGAGGGACGAAAGUUAGGGGCGCGAACCGGAUUAGAUACCCGGGUAGUCCUAACUGUAAACGAUGCGGACUUGGUGUUGGGGUGGCUUUGAGCUGCUCCGGUGCCGAAGGGAAGCUGUUAAGUCCGCCGCCUGGGAAGUACGGUCGCAAGACUGAAACUUAA